UUUUUGGUUCGGAUAUUGGAUU
rnacentral:snRNA from 1 species